rnacentral:rRNA from 1 species
AGUGGUAAUUUGCAGAGGAUGCUUUUGGCAAGGUGCCUUCCGAGUUCCCUGGAACGGGACGCCAUAGAGGGAGAGAGCCCCGCCUGGUGGGACACCAACCCUCUGUAAAGCUCCUUCCACAAGUCCUUUAGUUUGGGAAUGCUGCUCAAAAUGGGAGGUAUAUGUCUUCUAAAGCUAAAUACCGGCCAGAGACCGAUAGCGCACAAGUAGAGUGAUCGAAAGAUUAAAAGUACUUUAAAAAUAUAGUUAAAUANCACGUGAAAUUGUUGAAAGGGAAGNGUUUAUGACCAGACUUGGCCCGGUUGAUCAUCCACCCUUCUGGCUGGUGUACUCUGCCCGUCCGGGCCCCCAUCCAUUCAACUCGGGGGAUAAAGGUUUCAGGAAUGUAUCUCCUCCGGGAGUGUUAUA